rnacentral:rRNA from 1 species
AUUGAACGCUGGCGGCAAGCCUAACACAUGCAAGUCGAACGAGGGGCGGACGGGUGAGUAAUGUCUGGGAAUCUGCCUGAUGGAGGGGGAUAUCUACUGGAAACGGUAGCUAAUACCGCAUACCAUCGUAUGUGCCCAGAUGGGAUUAGCUAGUAGGUGGGGUAAACGCUCACCUAGGGGACGAUCCCUAGCUGGUCUGAGAGGAUGACCAGCAAAACUGGAACGGAGACAAGUGCCAGACGCCGACGGGAGGCAGCAGUGGGGAAUAUUGCACAAUGGGCGCAAGCCUGAUGCAGCCAUGCCGAGGGUAUGAAGAAGGUCUUCGGAUUGUAAAGCACUUUAAGUUGGGAGGCGUUACCAACAGAAUAAGCCACGGCUAACUACGUGCCAGCAGCCGCGGUAAUUC